rnacentral:siRNA from 1 species
GGAGCUGUUGUGUUGAUACUCCC